rnacentral:rRNA from 1 species
AAGUCGUAACAAGGUCUCCGUUGGUGAACCAGCGGAGGGAUCAUUACCGAGUUUACAACUCCCAAACCCAAUGUGAACGUUACCAAACUGUUGCCUCGGCGGGAUCUCUGCCCCGGGUGCGUCGCAGCCCCGGACCAAGGCGCCCGCCGGAGGACCAACCAAAACUCUUUUGUAUACCCCCUCGCGGGUUUUUAUAUCUGAGCCAUCUCGGCGCCUCUCGUAGGCGUUUCGAAAAUGAAUCAAAACUUUCAACAACGGAUCUCUUGGUUCUGGCAUCGAUGAAGAACGCAGCGAAAUGCGAUAAGUAAUGUGAAUUGCAGAAUUCAGUGAAUCAUCGAAUCUUUGAACGCACAUUGCGCCCGCCAGUAUUCUGGCGGGCAUGCCUGUCCGAGCGUCAUUUCAACCCUCGAACCCCUCCGGGGGGUCGGCGUUGGGGAUCGGCCCUUUACGGGGCCGGCCCCGAAAUACAGUGGCGGUCUCGCCGCAGCCUCUCCUGCGCAGUAGUUUGCACACUCGCAUCGGGAGCGCGGCGCGUCCAUUGCCGUAAAACACCCAACUUUCUUAAAUGUUGACCUCGGAUCAGGUAGGAAUACCCGCUGAACUUAA